AGUUGCCCUGCAAAACCAGCCCAUACAAAUGGAAAGUGCCCUUCUCUAAAACAUUUCAGAUAUUUGACCAAAUGAAGAGAAAGAAAGUGACUUGAGAUGAUUUAUGUCAGAAGAAAGAUCCACAAAAAUGGGUACAAGCUGUUCCUAAAGACUGUUCUGAGCAAAUUUUGGAAAGACAUUUUUUCUCUGAAUAUGAUAUUUCCCUCUGAGUGCCCAAGAGGCAUGAUAAGCCUUCAGUGGACUCAAUUCUAUUUGUUCAUUCUCCCUUUUUCCUAUGUAUCUGUUAAAUAAGUUUUCACAGUGGCUAUGAUGUAGGUCACUAGAAUCAUGCAGAAUACUAGAUACUCUUACUACUCUUGAAACCCACCAAGUCUGGUCAAUGUUGUAACUUUGAGGUUGUGAUCCAGGUACAAAUUAUACCAUAUGAUAUUUUUGUUUGUUUGUUUGUUUGUUUUUCAAUUUGAAGACAUGACCUGAGGGAGUACCUAGUAUUAAAGAUUUGGUCAAAGAAACUAUAUUUAUUAUUUAAACAUGUGUUAAAUUAUAUAAUAAUUACUUAUUUAAAUGUAAUCUAAGAACCUUCAUGGAAAGAAUAAAAUUAUUUCCUAUUUUUACUAGUUCUCCAAGAGUACAAAGUUUCAUAUGAUGUGUUUCAAUCAUAUUCAUUCUUCAAUUCAUCUCACAUCUAUUCCCAAUUCCUACCCCCAUAACAUUUUUGUCCUGUUUAGGGAAAAAAAAAACAAAACGGACACUUCAAGAAUAAUUAGACUGCCCUAAAUACUUUUUGAUUGUGGUCUUCCAUUCAAGCAUGGUUGAUUUACCAACAGUUACACUUGUAAAGAAGAGGGACUUUUCCCUUUUCACCAGUGAACAACUGCCAGUCACCACAGACUCUGGAUGGAAUUGUGUCCCCCAAUUCACUUCUCCAUCCUAGAAUUUCGUCUUGCUCGAGCUGGCACAGGUUGUAUGCAUACUGUCAUAGCCACUGAGUUUAUGUGUGUAUCUCCCUGGUUGUGUCUAGGUGUUCUCUUGUAUUCAUCUACAUUCUCUGAGUCUUAUAUUUAUACUGUUCUCCUCUUCUGCAUCAAUUCCCAUGGCUUAGGGGGAGAUAGAUAAGUUUCAUUGGUGUUGAAUCUUCUGCAGGUUCUCAUGCUUUGCACCUGAACCAGUUGUGUGAUAGCUCACUUUAAUAAAUCCUUUCUUAAAAAAAAAUAUAAGAACUAAACUAUGCUACUUAAGAAUAUAUGUUAAAUAGAUAAACUUUUUUCUUUCUAAUUUUUUAAUAAAGCCAUGUAGGCUAAUAAACAUCCAUCCUAUAUGUGCUUUUAUUUUUAACUUUUGAUUUUUUACAGUCCAGUCAUUACCCUGCUCCAGGUCUGCCCUCCCACCGUUCUUCAUCCUAUUCUUCCUUCCUCUGUCUCCAUGAGGAUGUCUCACUCCACUCUACCCCCCACACCACACUGUCCCUGCCCACUUCUGCCAGGCCUCCCCACUCCCUGGGGUCUCAACUCUCUUGAGGGUUAGGUGUUUCUUUUUCCACUGAGGCCAGACCAGUCAGUCCUCUGCUGUAUGUGUGUCUGGGGCCUUGUAUCACCUAGUGUAUGCUGCAUGGUUGGUGGCUCAGUGUCUGAGAUAUCUCAGGGAUCUGUUAGUUGAGAGUGCUAAUCUUCAUAUGGGGUCCUCCUCCUCCACCUCAGCUUUUUGAUGCCUUUCUCUAAUUCAACCACAAAAGUCACAGACUUCAAUCCAAUGGUUUGGUGUAAGUAUCUGAAUCUGUCUCAGACAGCUGCUGGCAUGGCCUCUCAGAGGACUUCCAUGCUAGACUCCUGUCUCUAAGCAUACCAUAGCAUUAGUAAUAGUGUUAGAUCUUAGAGCUUCCCCUUGAGAUGGAUCCCAAGUUGGGCCCGUCACUGGACCUCUUUUCCCUAAGUAUCGUCUCCAUUUUUGUUGCUGCAGUUCUUUUAGACAAAAACAAUUAUGGUUCAGAGUAUUUGACUAUAGGAUAAACUUAUUAAUAUCAAGUUGUUCAAUCAAACUGGUUUUAUUUCCCUUGUUAAACAUGAGUAUCACUAGUAGGAAAUCAGAUUUCUUCUUUGUUCUAGGUUGGAAACCUGACACUUAUAGGCUAUAUUUAUAACCCACCCUUAAUAAGAGAGAUUUUGUUUCUUUUUCACUUUCGUGAGUACUUGAAUAGCAUAUUUAGAAAUUUAGCCAAGAAAAAUAACUAUGGAGGAAUCUUGGUGAUUAAAUAGCAAAUUCUGUUCUUUUUCUGCCCUUCUACUCUGUUGGUCCAUUAUACCAUAAAUAGUUGGAUGACUAAUAUACUCAUUCAGCUAGAAGACUAUAUUGCAUUUGAAUUUCAAGGAGUUAAAUGAAGUUAACUGUAAAGCUCGUAAAAUAUUAAAUCUAAAUAUCACACUGAGCCUUGAAUUGCUCUUUAAGUAACAUCCCGAUGCUGGAAAAAAUCCAUUUGCAAUAAAUUUUCAUAUGCAAGCUAACGGAUUUCAAAGUCUUCAUGAAAGCCCAUGGGUCCUGGGUAAUUUUUAUCACUUCCAUUCUUUCCGUUGAGUGCUUAGACAUUUACUAUUAGAGUGACUUAGUCUAUUACCUUAAACUCGAGUCCUAGUCAAUUAUCACAUCAUCAUACCAAUUUUAUAUCUGUAAAUGUCUUAUUGCUACAAGAAAAUACUAUAAUGUGCUACAUGUUAUAAGAAGAGAACAAUGAAAUAUAAUGUGGCUAUGGACAAAUUGUCCAGUUGCUCUUAUAUAAAGAGACUUUAGGGAAGAGGAAAGUUAAAAUUAAGCUUUCAGGAUAAAAUAAAAAUUCAACUAGUAAUUUUAAAUGCAAUUAUUUAUGUAUUGCAGUGUUUCCAAAAUUGUAAUUAGGGUGACCAGAGGAGUUCUUUGAAGCUUGCUGUGAGCAACUACUAGGAUCAUCAAAAGUUGAAGGUUUUUUUUUUUUCUUUUGAGAGUUAAUGUAGAAUGACAUGUAGUAGAUAAAUGACAACACUUCACAUUUCACACUGGGAAACUGAUGGUUUGCUAAGUACUGUCAAGAAGUACAAAAAGUACUGACCAAUUGAAUUGAUUUGUCUUUGUGUCUCUUCCCACACAAGAAAAAGGUUAAGUUUGAUGUUGUAAGCAUAUUUUUCAUUAUCUGUAUCAGCAAUUUAGAAUGAAAUUUGUAUUAGUCACCUUUGCUUUGUCAUGGCAAAAUACCCAGUAGACAUAAAGAAGGAAAUAUGCAAUUGGGCUCAUGUCAGGGAUCUGAGCUUAUCCCAGUAGGAAAAUAUAUUAUAGUAGAGAGGUUAAUAUUUUGGAAAAAUAGAGGGAAAAGAGUACAGCUAAACUCAGUGCUCAUCUGUCUUUUUCUUUCCCUUUUAUUUUGACCCUAUAUCCAGACUAUAAUAUGUUCCCCUGUGCAUUCAUGAAUAGGUUUUCACACUUUCACUCAUGCCUGGAAAUGUUCUCAUAGAGGCACCUGGAGGAGAUGUAUCAAAACAACCCAAGUGAAUCUAAACCUAAAUCAGAUUGACAAUGAAAAUUGACAUUCACAGUACUGGAAAACACAUCUGUUGUUUUUUAAGCUUGCUAUUAAGUUAUUCAUGUUAAUAAUAUGCCAAGAUGCCUCAAAUAAGUACAGAUGUUAGAGAUGAAAAUGAGUUUGAAGUCAUAUUUGUAUUCUGCCAGUGAUAAAUAUAAAAUAAUGUAAUUGAAAGACAGUAAUCAUAAAUCUACAGGUAUGAACAUGGCUCUGUGAUAGAGCCCAUCAUGUGAGUGUUCAUGGGUUCGUUACCUACACUCCUAAUUUCAGGACAAAAAAGAAGUUGUAUGAAUAGGAAGUCACAUUGUAAUUAUUAAGAAACCCAGAAAAAAAGCUAGAGGUUAAUGAUGAAAAAUAUCUGGGUCAAGUUCAUGCUGAGUUGCCUUAACCAGGAAAAUUAUUGGAAAAAUAAAUGAAGGUUUGCAAAAAUGGGAAAUUUAAUUAUCAUGUGAAUAUUGGCAAUAUUUAUAAAGCCUUAUAAAUAAUCUUUAAUUGGAUACAUUGAACAAGAGGAAUUCAUAACAUAAUCUCACAUGAAAUCUGCCUCACUAUGUCUUUGGAAUAUGAAGGGGUGAUCUGCAAUUGGUCUAUUUGUCAAUAAGCUUCAGCCUUGUUCAUUUCAAUAUCAGGGAGCAUUCAUUUUUUCUGAAUAGAGUCUUCACUGUGGUUUGUUCUUAUUGUUUUAUAAAAAUAAAU
rnacentral:lncRNA from 1 species